rnacentral:rRNA from 1 species
ACGCACGCUGGCGGCGUGCUUCACCCAUGCCAGUCGCACGGAAAGGCCCUGCUUUUGUGGGGUGCUCGAGUGGCGAACGGGUGAGUAACACGUGAGUAACCUGCCCUUGACUUUGGGAUAACUUCAGGAAACUGGGGCUAAUACCGGAUAGGAGCUCCUGCUGCAUGGUGGGGGUUGGAAAGUUUCGGCGGUUGGGGACGGACUCGCGGCUUAUCAGCUUGUUGGUGGGGUAGUGGCUUACCAAGGCUUUGACGGGUAGCCGGCCUGAGAGGGUGACCGGCCACAUUGGGACUGAGAUACGGCCCAGACUCCUACGGGAGGCAGCAGUGGGGAAUAUUGCACAAUGGGCGGAAGCCUGAUGCAGCAACGCCGCGUGCGGGAUGACGGCCUUCGGGUUGUAAACCGCUUUCGCCUGUGACGAAGCGUGAGUGACGGUAAUGGGUAAAGAAGCACCGGCUAACUACGUG